rnacentral:rRNA from 1 species
UGGGGAAUAUUGGACAAUGGGCGCAAGCCUGAUCCAGCCAUGCCGCGUGAGUGAUGAAGGCCCUAGGGUUGUAAAGCUCUUUCACCGGUGAAGAUAAUGACGGUAACCGGAGAAGAAGCCCCGGCUAACUUCGUGCCAGCAGCCGCGGUAAUACGAAGGGGGCUAGCGUUGUUCGGAUUUACUGGGCGUAAGGCGCACGUAGGCGGACUUUUAAGUCAGGGGUGAAAUCCCGGGGCUCAACCCCGGAACUGCCUUUGAUACUGGAAGUCUUGAGUAUGGUAGAGGUGAGUGGAAUUCCGAGUGUAGAGGUGAAAUUCGUAGAUAUUCGGAGGAACACCAGUGGCGAAGGCGGCUCACUGGACCAUUACUGACGCUGAGGUGCGAAAGCGUGGGGAGCAAACAGG